AUGUCCCGGCCGCUCUACAAUCUCCGGCGACGCCUCCUCGCCUCAACCCUUCGACUCCUCCCAUCGCCCUCGCACCGCCUCUCCACCACCACCUCCACCCCGGCAACCCGCGCCCCUACCACCCCCGUGGCCGUCCUCUGGGAACUCGCCGCCUCCCGCCCGCCCUCCAAACUCCCCCUCUACGACUCUGCCGUCCGCCUCCACCUCGCCGCCUCCUCCUUCGGCCGCCUCCGUUUCUCCGCCGCGUUCCUCCACCCCUGCCACCGGCUACCCGACCCUGAUCCCUCCGCCGACGCCACCAAUCUCUGCCGCGUCUGCGGCCGCAAAUUCCGCGCCCGCGACGCGCUGCUCCGCCACUUCGACACCAUCCACACCCGAGAGAACACCAAGCGCCUCGAGCGAAUCGAGUCCUCCCGCGGCGACCGCCGCGUGCGCCUCGCCGCGUCCCUGUCUCUCAAGCUCUCCAAGUACACCAAGGCCGCCCGCGAGCUCACCGCCGGCGUGAACCCCGGCUCUCCCGCCGACGAGCUCCGCCGAGCCAGAGUCCACGCCGAGCUCUCCAGAUACCCGUCGACCGCCCUCCGGGAUCGCGCCCAAGAGGUGCUCGACGAUGGGUCCGUGGGGUGCCUGAUGCUGGUCUCGGGGCGGGAGGAGCUCUCCCCUCUGCUGCGACUGGCGAAGGAGAAGGGCGUGCGGACGGUGGUGGUCGGCGGCGAGUCAGGGCUGGCAAGGUGGGCAGACACGGGCUUCACCUGGGCAGAGGUGAUCGCUGGAAAGGCCAGGAAGGCAGCGCCGUCCAUGUCCGGGAAAUGGCGGGACAGGGACGUGCUUAAGGGGCUGGAGUGGAGGUAUGAAGAUGACGAGGAGGAAGAAGUGGUGUUUGAGGAGGACGGCGAUGAAGAUGGUUCAGAAGAGCUGGCGGGAAGUGCAAACGGAAAGCCAUGGUGGAAGCUGGAAUCAGAUGGCGAUGACUCAUUUUGCACAUAA
rnacentral:rRNA from 1 species